UACGUAGGGGGCUAGCGUUCGUCCGGAAUCGAUUGGCGUAAAGAGCGUGUAGGCGGCCCGGUAAGUCCGCUGUGAAAGUCGGGGGGCUCAACCCUCGAAUGCCGGUGGAUACUGUCGGGCUAGAGUGCGGAAGAGGCGGAGUGGAAUUCCUGGUGUAGCGGUGAAAUGCGCAGAUAUCUGGAGGAAUACCGGUGGCGAAGGCGGCAUCCUGGACCAUUACUGACGCUGAAUCGCGAAAGCUAGGGGAGCAAACGGGG
rnacentral:rRNA from 1 species